CGCGGAAAUCACGUCGACCUCCUUCCUGUCCUCCGGCGCUCCCAUGUCGCCUCUGACCGCUCAGCUUCCCACCGUCUGCGCUUCAAACUGCGCUUGAAAACCAUAGAAAAGAAUUCCUCUAAAAGUGAAGACGGCAGUGUGCUGCCUGCUUUAACCUUGUGCAGAAUGUCCUGCAGGCAAUCAUAAAAUACAAACAUGGCUGUUUUUUUAAGGUUGUUGUGAGCGGUUGGAGGCCCCCCGCUGAUCCAGCACCGUCUCCUUUUGCUUCUCUAGAUGUCGCUCCAUCACGUACGGCUUUCGCCGCCCAAACUGUCCAAUUCCUUCGUUCAACUGUUUGUGGAAAACGCCUUUUGCAAAGUGCAAGGUGCAAAAGUCCCUCCGUCUGCGUGUUAUCAGCCAUAGCAGCGAGGUGCCUGUGCAUACUGCACGCUGAUAUGAUGUAAAGUCCUCUGCUGUCCUUCAUACAGGAUCGAUUGUGUAACUCAUUUGAGUUAGAGACCGCGAAGAGGCACUUGAUGUCUCGCUUCAAUUCUUUUAAAGGGAUUAAUCAAUGAGGGGUGAAAUAAAUGCAUUGUGUAUUAAACACCAGCCUUGAUGUUUUCCUGGAUACUGUAUUUUAUUGCCAGCUGUGUUUUUGCACCUGCUUCCUUUGCUUGAGAAAGGCCUGACCACUCAGAGUUUAUGUUUUCCUGUUUGCUUUUCAAUUUAAAAAAAAAGCACAAACGAA